rnacentral:lncRNA from 1 species
UUUAACUACAAAUAUGGAAUAUGUUUUGAAUCCUGUGGAGUUGACUGACUGAUAAGUUGGGCAUUAAAUUCCCUUUCAUUUGCAUUCUAAUUUUGGAUAAAAUUUAUAAAUCCAAACAUUUAUUAGAUUUCGCUUCAGUUUGGUUUAUAAGAAAAUUUUCCUAUUUAUAAAUUUUCUACCCUGCAAGUGUUCAAGGUUUUUUAUCUGUACUUUGUAGGCUGAGAUUUAGGUUUGUUUAAGACCAUGAUUGACCCGUUUACCUGAUCUCUUCCAUCAACUACUUUACUGCGUUGACAAUAACCCUUUCAUCUUCUCCUGAUCUCUUCCAUCAACUACUUUACUGCGUUGACAAUAACCCUUUCAUCUUCUCUUGUGUUACAUUUAACCUUUUAUAUCCAAUAGACAUUUACUGAUGAGUCUUUUUUGUAUUGUUCCAUCACCAUUCUUGUGUUCCGUCACCAUUUCUUUCUUUCUGGUAGUUCCAUCGCCAUGUCUUAAGAAAAGACAUGGAGCUAAAGGAUGACUUGGCGCAAAACUGAGCGUGGUAGUGUUCUAGGAUUCAUGUAGCUAACUUCACUUAGUAGGAUAAGACUUUGUUGUUGUUGUGGUAGUAGGCUCCUCUUAUUUCUUUCCUGAAUAAACUGCAAUUAUUUCAUCACCUUAUUCUGGAUUUGAAAGGUCGCUAUCAAGUGUGGAAUACGCAGAGAAAGCUGCAUUGCAUAAGCAUUCCAUGUGGUCAAGUUUAGCUGUUGAUGUGCUUCUGGGAAACUUGUUUGGUUUGGUACUGUUGUAUCAUGCAGAAUCUGCUUGCAUAUGGAUAUUAAAAUUUUCCAGUGACAUUACAAAUGAGUUAUUGCGCUCAGGCUGUGUGUGGUUGAUGGGGGUACCUGCAGGUUUUAAGUUAAACAAUGAAUUGGCAGAAGUUCUUGGGAUGAUUUCUUUAACUGCUAUCCAGAUUUGGUCUACCAUUUGGAUCUUUUUGGUGUCCCACUUUCUUUAUUUCAUUAGAGGACUUGCCAUAUCAGGAAUCAUUUUUGGGGUGACUAUACCUGCUGCUUUGAUAAUCGACUUGAUUGCUCUAGCAACGUUGCAUGUGUCUACUCUUCAUUGGUUGAUAUCGCUUUUAUAUUCAACUCAGAUACAGGCAUUAGCAGCUCUCUGGCGCCUUUUCAGGUAUUAUUUUGUGAUGUCUUGUUCUUCCUUUUUCAGUUUUUAAAACUUCACACGACACCAGCUGCAGUAACUAAAUACAGGAUGUUUUUACUUUUUUUGCUUAUUGUAUACAUGCGAUAGGGUCAUUUUUCUAACCAACCUAUUUUCUAUCCCUUAAGACAUGUCAUAUGCUUAUUCAGAACCUGCUGGUUGGACUUGUAGCUCUUUAAUACAUAGUUCUUCAGUCAAAUUACACUUGUAGUUCCUGCAGUUUGCCCAUUUUCCAAUUCCCUGUACUUUAAAUAUGUUUUAAUUGAACCCUGGUAUUUUGAUUACAUUUGCAAUCCAGGACUAAAUGUAGAUCAGUCUGGCAACGUGAAAAUUAUAUGAUAGGUAUGUUUUGAGACAUCUACCACAUCACCACUCCGUUAAUUUAUUAGAUGCAGUUGUUUUGUCCUCAAUUUGCAAAUGUAGCAAAGGGAUAGGCAUGAAAUUGAAAAUAUUUAGAAGCACAGGGAUUUAUGUGGAAAGCAGGCUAAACUACAGGGAAAGUGUGACUUGACCUGGUUCAGCUAUUAGCCAACCUUCCAAUAAAGAGGCACUUCUGUUCCUGAUUACUGUCAUUAUGGAACUUUACUCGUUGGUUUAACCUUGGCCUUUUUAUUUGUCUAGCUAGUUGCUACUGUGCUUUUAUAUGGGGAUUUGAUUGUAUGGUAGUAUUAGAUUUACCAUAUAUGCAGCUGCCAUCUGCAAUAAGAAUGCCCAUAAUGCUAAAAAAUGAAAUUGGAAACCCCGUAACAAGUGUGCUUUGAAGCAUAAUAUAUGUUUUUAUGUAUGCAGUCAAAUUUUACCACAGUGCAUCAGUCCGACAGCAUGUUACUUUCAAGUGCAUUGCAUUUAGGCGCUUUACUCCGUUUGCACUUUAUUACGACAUAUUGACCUAACAACUAGCGUGCACUCAAAACUGCAGUCACUUUAUUAAUAUCACCUCUUGGUUCCUGUAGCAGAGUCAUGUUCGUGUAAGCUAAAAUGUUAAAUCUUUGGAUCCACUAACUUCUUGUAUGUUUCCCUUUAUAAUGUUGAGAAUAUCACGUUUAAGAAUGGGACAAAUAGAACAAACUCUUGAAAUCGAAAACAAAUAACCAAGAUAAAUAGCACCAAGAAUUUACGUGGUUCGGCAAUAUGUGCCUACGUCCACAGGACAGCAACAACAAUCUUUCACUAUAUCAAUAAUGAGUACAACCAAUAAUCUUGCCGAAUCUCUAGAACUAGGAAUUGACGAAAAACCUGAAAGAACAAGAACAAGAAAUACACUCUCUCUUUUCUUUUCUCUCGCACACUUAUUGUUUUGCUCCUUCAAUCAAAACUAGUACAAUAGCCCCUUUAUAUAUACAUAAUAAAGGUCUUCUUCAAUAAGGAUUACUAAUCCUAAUUGGAAACUAGUUAUAAAACCUACUCCAAUUGGGAAAACAAUUUAAUCCUCUAAGACUAUUAAUUCCCAAUAGACUUAGGGCAACUUAUCAUGGGCUGGAAAAAACCCAACAUAUAAUAUAAGUAUGCAUAACAUCCUGUUUCUAGAAGAGAUUGCUGUGCUUUUUAUAUCUAUUUAUCUGUUGAUAUACUCAUAUAUGUAUGUAAUAAUGUCUGUAUGUAUAAAUAAUAUACAGUGUACGCCCAUACAAGACAUGCUUGUCUAUAUUGUAUUGUAGUUAAUUUUGUUAUAAUUAAUUGACUUAAAUUGCUAUUUUCUGAGAAAAGCUCCCUUUUAUUGCGCACCUGGCCACAAUUCAAUUAUAAAUUUAGAAUUUCAAUUGUAUACUGCUGGUGAAGGUAUAAGUAAAAUAUGUCCUUGAUCAGUAAUUGUUUUGCUGUUUUACUACAUCUAGGUGCUCAUGUACUUACUGGAUGUUUUUCAGGGGCCGAAAGUGGAAUCCUCUUCGUCAGAGAUUAGAUAGCUAUGACUACACUGUCAAGCAACACAUCGUUGGAUCUCUUCUGUUCACACCACUCCUACUUCUAUUACCGACAACUUCUGUUUUCUACAUCUUUUUUACCAUUAUGAAUACAACUAUCAGCCUUAUGUGUAUACUGAUUGAAGUCACUAUAUCUUUCAUUCAUGCCACACCAUAUAUCAAAAUUUUCCUUUGGUUGGUGAGGCCGAGAAGAUUUCCAUCUGGGAUAUGGUUUGAAAUUGUAUCUGUUUGGAGUGGUGGAAUUGAUUCUCCUAGGGAUAUUAAUUCACCGUCAGAGAAACUGCAGCCCGGAAAGGGCCUCACCGGAGAAAAAUCAUCUGUGGUGGUUUCAUUUCUUCAUAGUAACUUCUUGACUGUAGGUGAGAGCUUGAUCUCUGUCUAGUGCAUUAGUGAUAUUUCUGUAGUCUACUGUAUCUCAAGUCUGAAAGUUUCACAUGUUAAUUACUCGGUCUUGGCUUUUCUCGUAACUAUAUUGAUGGAAUAUAUAUACCAGGACAAAUAGUCAUGCCUCACUACAACAAGGUUCUUUCUGGGAAACCUCGGACAUUGGUUGCCACUGCAGCUUAUGGAGUCCUCACUGGCAGACGGUGAGUUGAAAAUUGAAUUCAAAUUUGAUCGUUUUCAUGGCUGUUUUAAUUUUUAAUUUUUAAUAAAUUGAUUCCAGGAUUCCAUCUUCAAUUGGAACUGAUCUUCCAACAUUUCCGUGGAUGCUAAUCUCCUACAAAGAGUAUUGGCGUCUCUGCCGCGAUUCAGUUCUUGUAUGCUACAGAGCGUGACAUGUAACCAGUCUUGCUGCUGCCAGUUAACACCUAACUGCAUUUAUUUAACCUAACCUGAAAUUUUGUUCUCCCAUGUAAACCAAUUUUUCUGUUCAUCGAUUUGUUUAGGACCGUACAGGCAACAUAUCCGAUUCAAUUUUGAAGGAUUGUAGGAUGAAGGGUUUUUUUUGGUAAAUGAAAACCAAGUUAUUUUUUAAAUUUGUUAUAGUUAAUUCAUCUGUUUCAUCUAAAAUGUCUGCUCUGUUGCGUAAUUGACGUGAUUCAAGUCUCAGGCGAUCGGAAGUCUGCUGUUGGUUGAUUCUGACCUAAGAUAAUUGAUAACAGGUGUGGACGGUUCAACUGGGAUGAAUUGAGCUAUAACACUGCUUGUCUCCUUUCAGUGGGGUCAUCACCUGCAGUUGCAAGUCACGGGCCGACGCCCAUACCUGGAUAAUUGAUAACAGGUGUUAACGGUUCGGUCGAGAAUAAAAAUGUGCCGGGGAGAAUUUCCAUUGCACUAACAUCGAGUGACAGAGCUAUUGUUGGGCUUAGUUAGGUCACAAUUCAGCCGGCAGAGAGCUAACUGAAAAGCAGACAGAAACGUUACGAAAUGCUUUUACACUUGGAAGCUUCAUGUUCUGCCUAAGUUGCAGAUCUCAAGUGAAGACCAGUACUUUCGUAAAGAAGCAAAACCCACACGUUUCAAGGCUAUGAUUGCUGCAUAAAACUGAGUUGAUGCCGACCUACAUUUAUUCUUGUUUUGUUUCCUUGUGCGAAAAGCUUACUAUGCUCUAGAUCAAAAGAUGGCUGGACAUGUGGUUAAAUCUCCCAAUUUUAAGUGUAUUUUAUUUUUUGAAAUUGUGACAUGACAAAAAUGCCUCUUAAGGUAAUUAUUGACUUGUUGUUGACUUUCGUGCUUGUGAUACAUACGAGUGUUCUAAAAAUCAGCCUAGGCGGCCGCCUAGGUGUUAGACAGCGAUCAGCCACGUCAGCCAUCAUAUUAACAUUUGGGAUCUCCAUUAGAUAUGCUCUUUUAUGUUUUAAAGUCAAAAUUUAAUGGACUUGUCCACCCAAUUUGAAAAGUCCAAAAUGAACUCAAUGAAUCUAUAUGGACCUUUGGGCAUUUCUGAGGUGCAGACCUUAGAAAUAGACCUUGCGUGCAGACGGGAAUAAGACAGUCUUGAUUUGUUGAGCUCACGGUAGAACUCGAUUGGUGUGAUAUAAAGGAAUUAAAUUAUUUUUAAUUAUUUUCUUCACUAGGUAUCUUUUAUUUGGAGAGAAAAGGGGGGGGGGGGGGGGGGGACUGAGAGUUCGCACGUUUAAGAGGGAAAGAGACACAGAGUGUGAGCUGGGGUGAGGAUUGUAUUUGAGGUGGAUUGAAGUUGCGUUGCGAUUGUGACCCAAUCAUGUUAUACCGUUAAUUUUUUUUUUCUUCAUUAGGCAUCUUGUUGCCAGAGAGAAAGGGGUAGGUGGGUAGUUGAGGUAAUAUUGGUGCGCUGAAGAGGGAAAAAGAGGCUGAGAGGGAGCUGAGCUGAAGAACCGAUUUUAGCUGGAUUGAAAUUGCGUUGUGGCGGUGACCUAGUAAUCUUAUACCUUUAAUUCUUUUGGUUUACUAGAUUUUUUUUCUUUUUAAUUUUUAAUUUUUUUUUUGUCAUUGAGAGAGGGAGAGAUUAGGGUUGUCUUCGUCGAGAAAGAGAGGCGGAGAGAGGGAGGUGGUGAAGAGUGUCAAGGUUCGAUUUCAUGUGAAGUUGUGCUUGUGUUGAAGUUGACAAUGGUGGUUCAUCCAGAAGCUGUGAAGAAACCAAGAUUGUGAAGGUGACUUUUUGAAGAAUUUUAGAACCUCUGGUAUAAUCAAUUUCCAUUCCAUUUCGGUUUGUACAAUUCUGGGAUUUUACUUAGUCAAAAUCGUGAAAUUGGAUAUUAGAUACAUAUGUGCAAAACUUGUGCUGGGUUGUGAUAAGUGGUGUAGAUUGGUAGUAGGUAGACAUAGAAGUGUAAUUCGAUGGGGAUGAGUUAGAAACAGACGAAAUUGUGAUGGAAAGAGAGGAUGUAGAUAUGGGGGAUCAAUGUGGUGCAAGGAGGGUUGAAUUAGUUUUUUCUAACGGUAGAUGAUGAGUUGAAAUUGAAAUUAAAAAUGGAGUUUGAGCCAUUGGAUGAAGGGUAUGCUUUUUACAACAAUUAUGCACUUGUAGCGGGGUUUGAGAUUCAUGAGUAUAGUAGUAAAAAGUCUAGGUACAGUGAAAGUUGGUUAUGAAAUUGUUUGUUACAAACAAGGCAAGAAGAGGGUGGAUGCUAAUCCCAUACCUAAUAUGAAAGGUAGGAGGGGAGAUGCUAGAACUGAGUGCAAAGGCGAAACUUGCGAUGAAUAAGGGAAUUGGUUGUGAAACAUUUGGUGUAAUAGUUUUCAAUGAUUGACAAAAGCACCCUAUGUCAAGUGCAUCACACUUAUUUAGAUCACUUCGUUGAGUUUUAGAGGCAAUGAGGGUGAUGAUUGAACAAUGUGCAUAGGACAAUAUGAAGGAAUUAUUUUGUGAAAACAUGUUCAUUUAAGCAACAUCAUAUAGCAUGCAAUUAACAAUUAAAGGCGGAAUCAUGCUAUCAUGCACUUAAAAACAAAACAUUACCCAUGAAAUUCAAAGCCUAGUAAAUUGGUGAACCAAUAAUCAACUAAAAACAAAGUGAGUUGAAAUUAAUACCUUUGUAGAUUCCUCUUUGCAUAAGCAAAGGCUAAUCACCCAAAGAGAUAGGGCCUUCAUUCCUUGCUUCUUAGAUCCAUGGAUUUGGAUGGAAGAAUAGGUUCUCCAAGUUCCCAAAAUUGAGAACCUCUAAGUCUCUUCACCAAGGUUAGAUUGUAGAAGAAAUGAGUGACCUUGGAGUAGUAGGAUUGCUAGAUGUACCCUCCAAGGUGUUGGCCUCUUUAGAGAGAAAAUGGAGAGACAAUUCUCACCAAUUUCCCCAAAAUAAACCCUUUUAUCACUUAAUGAAUAUUAGUUAUAAAGUCAUUUAUAUAGUCACUUCUUUAAGUGACCUAAACAACCAAAACCCUAAUUCAUUUCAUCAUGGCCGGCCAUUUAGGGGAUUUUGGGCUUUUGGGCUUUAAUGAAUCUUCAUUCAUUAAAUUGUCAUACAACUUAAGUUAAUGGGCUUGACGUUCGAAGCCCAUUGGGCCUUAAGGUCCAAAACUAUCCCGAAGUCUUUAACGAACUUAUUCGUUUGAUUAAUUAACAUAUUAAUUAAUCCUUGCCAUAAAUAAAUGAUUAAACCAUUUAAUCAUUCUUACUCAUUUCCGUUUAAUCUCCAAUCUCUACCUUUUAUGGUGUGCGAUCCAUUAGGUUCCUUUUAGCGAGGUAGUGGGCGAUUAAAACCAUUUUACAUCGAUUGUGAAUUGAAACUAUUUUCAAUUCUCCCUUUAGUGAUUACACACGUUUAGGGCUUCCACAAACCAUGAGUGACACCUAGCAGCAUGUCAUGGUUACCCAAGCUAAUCAGAAGAGGUGGAGACCCUAUUCAGUUCGAGAUUACAAAUGCAAUACGGUCAUUCUCUAAUCUAAUACUCUUGACCACAUUGUUUGGUUUGAUAGUUUAUUUUCUCAUGUUUACUAUCCAAUGUGUGUCUUGUGCUUAUAUGAUUACCUUGAAUGUGAUUCGGAACGCAUUCCCUAAUCUCAUUCAUACUCUGGCCAGAGAUUCAAAUCAUAUCAGAGAGUAUUCUCCCUUAAACGGUUUGAAGGUUAGAGAUCCCUUGUUGCGCAUUCACUUGUCUCCAUAGCUAAGCGGCUUGACCCCAACGAUGCCGUGGACACCCUCCUGAUGGAGUGACUUUGACAUAAUCAAAGAUCAAGGUCUUAACCACAAGACAACUAUGAUGCCUCAGGUCAAAGGACUAAUUUGCAUUAUCCCAACCAUGAGUUCUCAUGUGACAUGGAAUAUGAGAACUCUUCGUUGAUCGCGUUCAGUGAACUCAUUCUCUAUUGAGCACCUACCGUACUUGUCUUGAUGUCACACACACCAAUGAUUCGAGACUAAUCACUCUCCUUGAGAGAAGACAUAGUACGUACUGAUCUUAACGGACUGUCAACGCCCAAUUGGCAAUCCUAUGAUCAGGAACGUUUAGGAUGUGUCUACGAAAGAAUGGUCUCAUGAAUCUAACUUCAUUAGAUUACAUUCUCCCAAUCACAUAUUCCUUGGACUUUAUCGUUUAAGCAUAUAACAUUUAUAUGAGACGGCUCAAACAAUAAUGUAUGCCCUUUAUAUGUAAAACUAGAUUAGUUUAACAUGUGAAAUGUCCGUAAAGUAUCAUCACAUGAUUGGCUUUAGGGCACAUUUCCAACACAAUAUUCCAAUAAGUAAACAAGUGGGUUUAUUGGAGGUGCAAAAUGGAGGAAUUAGAAAUAUUGGUUGCACCCCCAAGAAUAUGUAUAACGUUGAACAACAACUGCGAACUCAUCUAAUCAGGCAUAAUGCGAAAAUGUUGAAAGAGCAUUUUGAGGAUGAGAAAGAGAAAAAUGAUUCAUUUUAUUUCAAGAUAGAGAUUGAUGAAGGUGGGACACUUAAGAAUUCAUUUUGGGCGGAUGCUAAGUCAUGACGUGUUUAUUGCCAUUUUGGUGAUGUGAUUGUGUUUGACACCACUUGCAAUACCAAUGUGCACGGGAUGAUGCUUGCUCCUUUGUUAGGAGUUAAUAACCACGGUUAAACCAUGGUAUUGGGUUGUGCAUUUUGAAAAAUGAAAAAACCACGAUCUUUAAGUAGUUGUUUGAAGAAAUGCUUAAAUCUUAACUGAGUGAGUCGCCAAAUGUCAUAACUAUAGAUCAAGAUGAAGUUAUAGCAAGGGCUAAUGUCAGCAAACUACCAACCACCUUUCAUCGGUACUGCAUAUGACAUAUUAUUAAUAAGUUCAAUGACAAGGGUUGGGUUGAGGACGUUUUCAAGGAUUGCAUGCUUGCAUAUGAGAUAUUGAAAGCAAAGAAGAAUUUGAGGCAAGGUGGAAGGUGUUGGUAGAAGAACAUGAACUGGUUCAUAAAACGUGGCUUAAGAACAUUUAUAAGUUGCGUGCAAGGUUUCAACAUUUUGUAAGCAUGCUUUUUAGUCGAAAUGUCAAAUAGUCAACGUGCCGAGAGUUGUCAUUCUUUUUCAAGCAAUAUGUGCAUAUGAAGCACUCUUUGAUUGAAUUCAUCAUUCCAUUAAAUCGAGCUCUUAGACGGCAACGUCAGAAAGAGGUGGUUGGUGACCUUAAUGAUGAAAACCGUGCCCUUCCAUUGCAGCUUUGCACCUCAGUGGAAACUAAAUUGGCCAAAUUGUACACACGAUUUAUGUUCGAAAAAUUUUAAGUGAGGAAUUGAAGAGUUCGACUUAUUUCUUGAGGGAGCAGUGGUGGGAUGGCAAUAAGGCAUUGUACAAAGUACUUGAGAGUGCUGCAGGGUGACAAAGAUGAAGAGGUUGGUGGUUGAUACGAUCUCGGGAUAUGCUAAAUGCAGCUGCAAAUAGAUGAAGUUUUGGGGACUUCCUUGUUGACACAUAUUUGUCGAUUUGAGAAUGGAACAAAUAGAGUUGUUACCGGAACGUUACAUACUGAAAAGGUGGCUUCAAGUCGCCAAAUCCGGCAUUGUUUUUUACACUGGAGGGAAAGAAGUGGGCAAACACGCCGACAAUUCUAUCUUGUUCAAAAGAGCUCAGUUUUCAAUAAAAGUUUCAGAUUUAAUUAGCAAGGCGUUGAUGCUGGAGGAAGGUACCCAACUUCUAUCCCGGGCUUUGAAAUCAUAGGAUAUGAAGCUCAACUCUUUAGGUGUGUUAAUAGCGGUGGGCAAACGGGCCUUGUACCUGCGGGUUGGGGGGAGGGUCCAUACUGUUCCGGGCGGGUACAAAUAUUGUAAACUCAAAAUGGGGUGGGGUGGAUCCCAAUAUAUGAGAAAAUGGGCCCCGGGCCCAGACCGAUUCAAUUGUCCAUUAUAUGAGAUUAAAUCUUCACCAUGUAUUUCUUAAACAUUAGAUCACUCUCUCUCCACCGUUUUCAUUCUCUCUGAGUCUCUCCACCUUUCUUGAUUCCUCAAAGACUCAAAUUGAAGUAUUGAACUUGUCUCUUGACUCGAAUUCGUAACGGCAGUGGCUGCACAGUACUCCUUUCAUCCAUCCCUCGUCUCUUGGUCUCUCCUCUGUCGACUCUAUCCUCAAAUUUACCCAACUUGAGACACAACCUUAAGGUCUUUCUCUCUCCCCACUCCGACCACCACCAUCAUAUCUUCUUAAAUCCGACCAACACUCUGCUAUUCUGUUCGGAGUCUUCAAUUUUAAUGUAUUGAUUGUUAGAGAUUUAGGAUUUAGGAUUUUUUAGAUAUAGGAAUUUUGGGGGUGUGGACCUAAUAAUUUCUAGUUGUCUGAUGAUGGAAUUGACUGAUUAGUUUUCUAAUUUUGAAGCUUUGCAUUUUGUUUUUAAAUGAGAUUGGAAUUAUGAGAAUUUUCAGAUUUAGGGCAUUGGGGAUUGGUGGGCAAAUAUUGGGGUGGCUUAAUACUGACAUGUUUAUUGGUAUGUGUGUUCAUUGUUGCGGUGUUGAGGAAGAACACUUUUUGUGAUAAAAAAAUUUGGAAAUUUUAUAUGUUUUUAACUGAUUGAUGAAAUUGUGUAUCCACAGUAUUGCGUUUUUGUGAUUUUGAUAAUUGGAGAAUGUGUUAAUUGUUGAAUUCGAUUGUUUGACGAAGCUGUUGAUUGAAUCCAACUGUUCUGGAAAAAAAAAAUGGAUUGGACCCGUGGACCAAUCCCGAUUCGGCCCAUUUUAAAUGGGUUGAGUUAGGUCCGGUUUCAAAACUCAAAUUUCCUAUAACCGACCCCGCCUGUCCCGUUGCAUUUUUUAACGAAUCCAGUCCAUCCUUCAAAUUUGGGCUCGGCCCGGCCUGUGCCCACCCCUAGGUGGUAACCGUGGUCAGAAAAGAAAACAAACUGAAGAAGGAGGCAGGAGUUCUCAAACCAAGGUGCUUAAGGAUCCUAUUCAAGUUAAAAGAAAAGGGGCGUAAAAAGUAAGUACGAAAGACAAACGAAGUCAAAAUCGGAGACGCAGUAGUAGAAUUGUUGGUAUUAUAAAAUUGUUUCGUAGUUGGUCCACCUAGCAUUCUAACCCAGCAGACCUUGACAACCUUUUUUGGUAUUUUUUGUUAUAUUCGGGUAUUAUAGAAAUAUUUCAGCAUGUACAUACAUUUUCAUAUAUAUUAUAAACAAAUAAUUUUUUUUUGUUUUUAAUUAUUGUUUAUUUUAAUUAAAAUAAUUACAAAAAAAAAUUAAAAUGAGUAAUUUAAUAAAAUCAUAAAUAAAGGAAAACAAAUUAAAAAAAAAAAAAACCUUUGUUCGACGAAAGACCUUCGUUGCAUAUGAUUAAAAAGGAAGCUUUCAUCCCGCAGGGCCUUGGACAACGAAAAUUUCAUAAUUCAAAAAUAUUAAAAUACUUGAAAUCCAAAUUUUAUUGGACAAAUUUCGUAGCAUCCUUGUUUACUCAAUGAAAAAAUUUGUCACACUGAGUCUUACCUAACGACUAGUUGUCGCUGUAAACUCAAUCUGACAACAAGCUGUCGUACCCUUUAGUUUGGUGCUACGGUACGCUUCGUUCCCCUAUCUUUGAGGUGACAAACGCAUUAUUUGUCAAGGAAAGAGCCUUGCGCGACUGCGUCUGCGAGACAAAGUUUUCGUUGAGCCAAUGUUUAUGCUACGAAAAUUGACUUUAUGUGAUGAACUUUUGUUCGUAGCGAAAAUUGUUUACUGUAAUAGUGUUAUGCUGUGGUUAAUAGUUUUGUAAUUAUUACCUGCCUUUUUUUACAUUGUGAAAAGACUUAUCUUCACAUGAAAUUCUAACUUUGUCACUAAAUGCACAUCAUAUAGUGUAACACCUGGCAACAUUUUUUUGGUUUUCUUGUGGAUUUUUUCCUUGGAUGUUGUCUAAGCAACGACAACAAUUCAUAACUAUCAUACAUGAAUGGUUCACGAGAUCAAACUAACAUAACUGAUUUCAACACCGUAUAGUGUAACACCUGGCAACAAUUUUUUGGUUUUCUUGUGGAUUUUUUCCUUGGAUGCUGUCUAAGCAACGAAAACAAUUCAUAACUAUCAUACAUGAAUGAUUCACGAGAUCAAACUAACAUAGCUGAUUUCAACACAUAAACUCUAGUUUCCAUAUGGUUGAUGUAGGCUCUCUCGCUCUCGCUCACACACACACACACACACAUUUCCAAGAAUUAAUUAAAAAACAGAAAGAAAAAGAUAUAGGGAGGGAGCAAACAAAAUUGGUCACGGGCAUUGAGUUAAGUUAGACCAAACGAAAGGGCUCUACGGUACUGGCAAUGCUUUCCUGUGAGGACAAACAGAGAAGUGGGUGAGAGGUGAGUGCUUGCAUGGUUGUAAUAUAUAAUAGUUUUAUGUUCUUGCAUGUUUCACUCUCUAACGAUUCAGUUGAUUUCAUCAGUUGUAUAUAUGUUGGCCAUUAGAAACCGGCCUAACAGUAGCAGGGACAUGUGAGGGCACAUGUGUGAGGUGGCAUCCUAUAUACCCUAUCGCUUUCACAAUGCCAUCAUUCACAUGCAUGAUAAGAAUCACUAAACUUGAGGAAAGCAAAAUAUAUCGAUCCAUGAUAUAUAUCCAAGAUCCAAUCAGAAUAAAUGUAGUUAUUUUUUUCCUUCAAAAACUUGAUAUCUUGAAGCGUUUUUCACUAAUAUUAACAUUUGUCAUACAGUUCUAAUUAAUUAAAUAAACUUUUGUUCUAGUUUUUAGGUAACUUAUAUGGAAAAGAAAACUUGCAAUCUGUUGCUUACAUGUGGUUCUCAACUUUCAUCACAUGUCUCGUGGAUUCAAAGACAAUUUUUUUUUAUUUUUUAUUUUUUUGGUCUCUUCUCAUUUCUUGGACUCAUAUAGUGUUUGCUAGUUCUCACAAUAAUUCUCAACUACAAAACUUGAACAUGCAAUUACCUCGUCUUUGUUCGGGUAAUAACUAAAGCGUUUUUCAUAUUUACCAAAAGAAGGCCUUUUUAUAUGUAAAGUAAUUAAUAAACUGUAAGUGGUGAGUUGGUCGUUUCUGUCAGUACGUGGUCUAGACUUUCUGCGUCUUACAUGUUGAAAACAACAAAGUUGCAUAAAAAUAAUGUUGAUCCCUAGAACUUACUUGCAUGCAUGGCAAUAUAUAUGACACACACACAUCCCUUUCUAUGCAAAAGGCAUACAUAGAAUUCUCUCUUGUAUAUAAAUAGCCCUAUAUAUAUAUGACUAACUCCACCCACAGGGCCACAGUUCAGGAAAACAUAUAAUUCUCACUCUUCUCUAUCUCUCUAGCUAGUUGCUUCUUGAGUUCAAGAAUUUUAUUUUUCUGGUACAGCCGGCAAUGGCAAGGGCUUUAAAUUUUGUGAUGUUCUUCCUUGUUAUACUGUUCUUUGCCCUAACAGUAGAGAACCAUGUAAGCCAUCUUUCAUCUCUCUCCCUCUAGAGAUAAAUAUGCAUCAUUGUAUAUACACACACAUAUAUAUACACCUGGUCAUGCAAGUGUGGGGUUGUUGUCGGCCCACUGCAUUUCAAAUUUGAACUCACUUAAUAUAGUUUAGAGUAGGAAUAUCGCUUGCAUUAAAAAAAAAUUAUAAAUUUGUAUAACAUGCCUGCUUUCUACUAGCAAGAUCUGCAAGUUGUAGUCAGAUGAAAAUUCUUUCCAUGUUGACCAUCUUAACCUGCCGUUAGCUCCUUGGCUUGAAUUCUAACAGUAUACUUGAAACAGAGAUAAUUUCAUUGCAGUAGGAUUGUAAAAACAAAGCAGAAUGUUUUAUUCAGAAAAAAAGAAGGCAUGUACAUUAUUAUAUGCCGAGACACUCGCAAAGAAAUUGGGUGUUAAAUUUAAAUUGAAAAAAAAAAAAACUAAAAUUAUUGAGUGCAUGCAUGUAGAUUAUUCCUUUGCUUGAAUUCUAACAGUAUACUUGAAAAUGAAGCAGGCUAAUGCCACUGGCACUGAAGCUCCAGCACCGCAGCCCCAAAGCAGUAACAACCAUACCAUGGUGAAAUUUAUUUAUUUUCAGACUGCAACUUUUUUAAAUUAUCUGAUUUUUCUGCCUCAGUUUUAGAUACAUUUUUUUUACAGUAUUAGAUUGUUAAUUAAAUGAAAUCUCAAGUUUAUAAUUAUCUCUUGCUCUUAUGCAAUUCAGAAUGGAAUCACUGAAGGCAGCCUUCAACCUCAAGGUAGGGAUGCUAAUUAAGCAUGUAUACAUUACAAUCGUAUUAGCAAUAUUUAAAAUAUUAAGGAAACUUUACCUAGAGAGACAAAAACACAAAUUACAUUUUAUACAAUUUUACUAGUUUUGAAUCAGUUUAAGUAGAGAUAAAAGCCCAAACCCCAACAAAUCUAGCUAAAAAACAAGCAAACCAAAAUUUUAAAAUCCCAGCUAUGCCCCUAAUAGACUUGUCCAAAACUACACCAUUAAUAAAAAACUCCAAAUUGAUUUUAGAUCUGUAAAAACUAAUUUAUGCAAGAUUAGUUUCACAAUUCAUGCACUUUUGCUAGAUCGGUUUCAAAAUUUUCUACACUUCCGCAAGAUUCAUUUCAAAUUUUUUGCACUUCUACAAGAUUAAUUGCAAAAUUACUGCACUUAUGCAAGAUCAGUUUUGAUAUUCUUACACUUUUGCAAGAUCAGUUUCAAAAUUCUACAAUUCUGAAAGAUUAGUUUCAAACUUUUAGCAUUUUUGUAAGAUCAAUUUCAAAAUAUAGGCAUCCAAAUUCCAAAUCAUGAAAAUCUCAAAAUCAAAUACUUUCAGAAAAUACUACAAUAAAAAAGCCAAAAUUAAAAAUCCCAAUGGUUUUCAUAUAAGGAAAAAAACACUCAUAAAUCUAGGCAACAAUUUGAAGAAGGGAACAAGGUAAAGACAAUUUACAAUUAAAAUAAAAAGGGUAUAUGACAUUACUUGCCACGUGGGUAGAUUUUGUCCCCCUAUGCAAUAAAUAAAAAACUUUAUCUCUUUCUAAACUAUAGUUUUAUAAUGUAACUUUACGUGUAAUUUCCUAAAAAUUAAAUGCUUCUUAACCAAAAAAAAAAAAAGGGAAAAUGAAAAAAAAAGGUAGAUAAAUUUUUUUAUUAUUUUUAUUGAAACUGAUUAAGUGAAACAUUGUAGAGUGCGGUCCUCGUUGCACCACAAGAUGCUCAAACACACAGUACAAGAAACCAUGUUUGUUUUUCUGCCAAAAGUGCUGUGCCAAGUGCUUGUGCGUCCCUCCAGGCACAUAUGGGAACAAGCAAUUCUGCCCUUGCUACAACAACUGGAAGACCAAGAGAGGAGGCCCCAAAUGUCCUUGAACCAGCCAUUCCACACAAAAAAUGUCAUUCUGUACUCCUUAGUGAAAUAAAUAACAAAGGACGAAGUUCAUGUUGAUUUUUUUAGUGUUAAUGACAAUUAUCUUUCAAAUUAUAAUUGCUUAUGUCAGCGUUUUAAACUGUGUACUUAAAUUUGAUUAGACUUAAAAUUCUGCAUGUUACAUCAAAUUUGUUGUUUACAGAUGUUUAUGGAAAAUAUUCAACUGCUUAUUAAAUUAAGGUAGUAAAAAGUCCCCCUCUUUCCGUAUUUUUGGAUGGUAAUUUUCCUCCAAACAUGGAGAAUUGGAGAUUCAAAGUUCUAUUGCUUAUAGCUUCCUUGUUUUUAAAUAAAGUGAAUUCGAAAUUGUCUUUCAUUCCAAGUCGUAGCUUGUAAUUGUGUACAAACUAAAGAAUAUUACAAAGAGGAUCCUUUGUGGAUUCCUCAAUCAUACAAAUCGUAAUGUAUGUUAGUUAUGAUGUUAACAGGAAAUUGCUAAACCAAAUACAAGACUGAUCGAAGAUGUCCGAUAUUAGCAAAUCCUUCUGCAAUCAUAUUAGCUUCUCAAUGUAUGUAACAUAUAUAUGGUAUCGUUAGGAAAUUAGAUCAUUAAGUACCAUAUAUCGUUAAUGAGUGAGGAAAGUCGCCAAUUUAGAGCUUGCUUUUAACGCCAUAGCGUCUACCUGCAAAACAGUAGAAUAACCUAUUGGACUAGAAAUAUAAAUUGGUUUUGAAAAGCCAGAAGCUGCUUCUCCAUUGCUUAACAAAAACUAUCGAAAUUGGUUUUGACAUUUAUAUAGAACUAUAAAUUAUAGAGUUAUGAUGACACAAAGAUAUAUAGGAUGAACAAUCUUAUUACAACCAUAAAUUCACCAUAUACUUCCAUCACAUACGGCUUUCAUGGACAGCUGCACUGGGGUUUAAGGAAGCAAAUGAAAGAAGCAUCUCAUCCCUUUGAAAGAUAGCCAUCUCUUGUUCUGCCAGUGUUACCCACGCUUCAAUAUUUUCACCAAGUUUACUAUCAAUCAAAACUAUAAAGUUUUUAAAGCCCAUAGAAGUAGCAACCCAAGUGGGUUUCCCCCACCCAAAAUCCAUAUCAUAUAUUGGAAAUUUGCACAAACUUGUACAACGAAAAAUAUUAACUCCCCUUGAGAUGAAUUCAACCUCCUUUGUAUGAUAUUCGGAAACCACGGCAAAACCAUCUUCGCCUUUAAACCUAUUAGCCUUGUCGUUGCAAAAGUCCGUUAAGCCUUUCCUCAACUUGACAACAACCUCAUGUAAUUUUAUAUCACUUUCUUCAAUAAGCACUGGAAACGCCCAAACGAGAUUACCUACAGUAUUGACCGGCAGUGGAGAGACCAUUCUUUUGCGCAAGUUCAUGGCGUGGAACAACACCGAUGGCCUUGAUGACGAUGUUGAUAUGGACUGUGCAGCAGCAAUAGCACAUUUGACCACAACUGCAGAUACUAGUUCCACAUUUGUAGGGUUGUUAGUAGUAAUAGCUGCUUUUGCCUUGAGACUGGCCAUCUUUGAGGUGCUGAACACAAAACGCCUAGUGGUGAAAUUUUGAUGUGGGUCUGGGAUGUCCAAGGUGCGUGUGAUCAACAUCUCUGAAGGCGGCAGCAACGACGAUCCAAUAAACAAAGGAAGCACUUGACCUAAUCUCUGGUCAUGACCAAUGAAUUCUGAUUGAUCAAGAGCAGUACUGGCUGCCGUCCAACUUUGGACAAAAGUGCACAAGGAUGAAGCGUCCGCGAUCUUGUGUAAAAGAGAGACUGCAAUAGCAAUUCCUCCACAGUUAAAGACAGUGAGUUGAACAAGCAGAACAAUAACGUCUUCCUUUUCAGCACUGGAGGUGGGAAUAAAGUGCUGGAAUAAGGUGGAAUCAGGUUGGGAGAGAAAAUUCAAGAGGUGGCAAUCCAUUCGAGCUUCUACAAAAUAAACCCCUUGGUCAUUGCACUCAAUGGUAGCAGCGUCUUUGAGCCGCCCGGCAAGUGGAUAGAAAUGAACCAAGGUUUUGGACAACGACUUCUGAAGGUGGCUUGACAUUUUCAAUGCAUGGGGAUUGAAGUCGCCAUAAGUAUGAUCAUAGUUGCUGGUAGACGAGUAGAAGAAGAUCAUAUUGCCAUACAAAUUAGGACUAUGUCUUUGGUCCAAAAGAGAGAGCUUGAAGUUUUUGUGAUGAUGAGGAGUUGGGGAGGAUGGCCUAAUUGUUUUUCUUGAAAUGAUCUCGACCUUCAUUUCUUUCACCAUCGCUCGAUCAUUUGCUGCUUUUUCCAGUUCAUCGAUUUAUAUAUAUUGGCGAUUGUACAUGAAAUGUAGAGUAAUUAGCUCCAUCUUAAAUUUUUUUUUGAAAUGAGACUAAACCUAAUCUUUCCUUUUGCACUUGACUUGAUUAGAAUAGUGUGCUCAUUUGAAUUCUAAUUUUCUUUUUCAUAAAUCGAAUUAGAUUAGAACAUCGAUAAAUAAAAACUAUCAAUUUUUCUGACUAUAAAAUAUAUUAACCUAAUUAUGAAUUCAAUAUGAAGCAUCCCACACAAAACAAUUGUUAUUUUAUUUUUAUGGUCAAGCAUAAUUUAUAUAUAGGGCCACUAUGGAAUAAAUUUAUAUAUGCAAGUAAUCUAGUUGUUACAAUUUGUUUAAGAAAUGAGAUAUAAUCUCAUAAUUUAAGCAUCCAAUGUAGUACUAAGUACUGACCAGUUAAUAUAGAAAUGAUAUCUAAUUAAUGAAGACUUGAGUUCACAUUGUUGAUGUCUAUACACACAAGUAGCCUACUUGUUACAUUUUUUAAUGGGAUAAGAUGGAUGAUGUAUUUCAUAUGAGCCAUUAGAUUAAUUUUAUGAUAUAUUAAGUUAUCAACUUGAAUAAUCCUAUUACAUUGAAACACAAUAAUUUGUGAAGUAGUUAAAUUUAAAAAAAAUUAUCAUGUGAAACUUUCCAUCUUCUUCUCCUAUCUUCUCUCUCCUCCACAUCCCCUUCUUUUAUCCAUCUCUCUCUCGAUUGUUCACUCUCCUUCUCUCCUCUUGAGCUUUUUGUUUUUUCCUUUUCUCGCAUGAAAAAGGGAGAUGUAUAUAUUUCAAAAUUUUCACUGUCUUUAGAAAAUUUCAUAUGAAAAAGCGUUCACUCAUUCAAGAAAAAGAUAUCCGAAUUUUCGAAGCCACACAAUCUCAAUUUUGGGGUGCUUUUAACUAAAUGGGUUUGAAUAUUAUUGAUAAAAGAAUGAAUGAAAUUGGAUGUAAAGUUAUUAAAUUAGAGGGUUUAGAUAUUUGAUUAGGUGACCAGGUUUUGUAGAUGGAAGGGAUUCGAUAUAUGAUGUGAAACAUUCUUUUUUCUUCUUAUUUUUUUUAGUUUUUUAGUUUUUAUCAAUUAAUAUUUUAUUUCUGUGUAACAAAAAAUAUUUAAGUUGAUAGC